rnacentral:sRNA from 1 species
GAUACCAGGGUAGAAAGGUCGGAAAUCCGAUGCAAGCUUGCUUGCAGGAGGAUUUAUGAACUUGAGACCCGCCAAAAACAUGAGUAAGCAGCCAUUUUUGUAAAAAAUGAGCGAAUUACGAAUGUUUUUGAGGAUUGUGAGAGUGCGAAGCACGGAACAAUCCGGU